UACGUAGGUGGCAAGCGUUGUCCGGAUUUACUGGGCGUAAAGGGCGCGUAGGCGGCAUAUUAAGUCAUCUGUGAAAUCUCCGAGCUUAACUCGGAACUGUCAGCUGAUACUGAUGUGCUAGAGUGCGGAAGGGGCAAUCGGAAUUCUUGGUGUAGCGGUGAAAUGCGUAGAUAUCAAGAGGAACACCUGAGGUGAAGACGGGUUGCUGGGCCGACACUGACGCUGAGUGCGCGAAAGCCAGGGGAGCAAACGGG
rnacentral:rRNA from 1 species